CAGUCGCCGCGGGAAUACGGAGGGUGCAAGCGUUAAUCGGAAUUACUGGGCGUAAAGCGCACGCAGGCGGUCUUUCAAGUCGGAUGUGAAAUCCCCUGGCUCAACCUGGGAACUGCAUUCGAAACUGGCAGGCUAGAGUCUUGUAGAGUGGGGUAGAAUUCCAGGUGUAGCGGUGAAAUGCGUAGAGAUCUGGAGGAAUACCGGUGGCGAAGGCGGCCCCCUGGACAAAGACUGACGCUCAGGUGCGAAAGCGUGGGGAGCAAACAGGAUUAGAUACCCCGGUAGUCCCUGUCUCUUAUAC
rnacentral:rRNA from 1 species